GAUGAACGCUAGCUACAGGCUUAACACAUGCAAGUCGAGGGGCAGCGGUAUCGAAAGCUUGCUUUCGGUAGCCGGCGACCGGCGCACGGGUGAGUAACGCGUAUCGAACCUGCCUCAUACUCGGGAAUAGCCUUGCGGAAGUAAGAUUAAUGCCCGGUGUUUUCAGAGUCCCGCAUGAGGCUUUGAACAAAGAUUUAUCGGUAUGAGAUGGCGAUGCGUCCCAUUAGCUUGUUGGCGGGGUAACGGCCCACCAAGGCAUCGAUGGGUAGGGGUUCUGAGAGGAAGGUCCCCCACAUUGGAACUGAGACACGGUCCAAACUCCUACGGGAGGCAGCAGUGAGGAAUAUUGGUCAAUGGGCGGAAGCCUGAACCAGCCAAGUAGCGUGCAGGAAGACGGCCCUCCGGGUUGUAAACUGCUUUUAGUUGGGAAUAAAACGGGGCUCGUGAGCCCCCUUGCAUGUACCAUCAGAAAAAGGACCGGCUAAUUCCGUG
rnacentral:rRNA from 1 species